rnacentral:miRNA from 1 species
UUUAAAGCCUUGAGAGCACAGA